AUCUGGGCGGCGGAAUUCAAGACGGCUGGCGGGUCUCGCGCUCGUUCGGCCGUUUGAUAUUUCCGUCGCCGUGUCAGACGUCGCGACCUGUUUGUCGUCGGUCCUUGCUCGGAGGAAUCGCGAUCGAGUUCGUUGCGGGCGCGUUUCGGCGUGCUUCGCGGCGAAGACGCGACUCUCUGGCUGACGACGGACAGUAAGCAACGGUGUCCGGCGCCGUGUCUCGCACUCGGCGUCGGUGCCGGUCAGCGACGAUUUCUUCGGGCCUCUUUCCGACCCGUCUUGAAACACGGACCAAGGAGUCUAACAUGCGCGCGAGUCGCGGGGUUUCGAGCGUACCACGGUGCGCUCGUUACUUCCGAAACCCGUACGUUGAAGGCGUAAUGAAAGUGAAUAGGGAAGAUGGCGUUCCGAGUCCACGUACCGUGAUCGAGUAUCGCGGCCGGACGUCCGCACUCCCGGGGCGUCUCAAUGGUUCGCCGCGGAUGCGGACGAUCGUCUUUCGGGGCGGUCGUCGGUCUGUGGCGGUCCGA
rnacentral:rRNA from 1 species